AUUGAACGCUGGCGGCAGGCCUAACACAUGCAAGUCGAGCGGAUGAAGGGAGCUUGCUCCUGGAUUCAGCGGCGGACGGGUGAGUAAUGCCUAGGAAUCUGCCUGGUAGUGGGGGAUAACGUCCGGAAACGGGCGCUAAUACCGCAUACGUCCUGAGGGAGAAAGUGGGGGAUCUUCGGACCUCACGCUAUCAGAUGAGCCUAGGUCGGAUUAGCUAGUUGGUGGGGUAAAGGCCUACCAAGGCGACGAUCCGUAACUGGUCUGAGAGGAUGAGCAGUCACACUGGAACUGAGACACGGUCCAGACUCCUACGGGAGGCAGCAGUGGGGAAUAUUGGACAAUGGGCGAAAGCCUGAUCCAGCCAUGCCGCGUGUGUGAAGAAGGUCUUCGGAUUGUAAAGCACUUUAAGUUGGGAGGAAGGGCAGUAAGUUAAUACCUUGCUGUUUUGACGUUACCAACAGAAUAAGCACCGGCUAACUUCGUG
rnacentral:rRNA from 1 species